UACGGAAGGCAGCAGGGGGAAUAUUGCACAAUGGGCGAAAGCCUGAUGCAGCUAUGCCGCGUGUAUGAAGAAGGCCUUAGGGUUGUAAAGUACUUUCAUCGGGGAGGAAAAAACAAAACUAAUAAUUUUAUUUCUUGACGUUACCCGAAAAAGAAGCACCGGCUAACUCCGUGCCAGCAGCCGCGGUAAUACGGAGGGUGCUAGCGUUAAUCAGAAUUACUGGGCGUAAAGAGCACGUAGGUGGUUUUUUUAAAGUCAGAUGUGAAAUCCCUGGGCUUAACCUAGGAACUGCAUUUUGAAACUGAAAUACUAGAGUAUCGUAGAGGGAGGUAGAAUUCUAGGUGUAGCGGUGAAAUGCGUAGAUAUCUGGAGGAAUACCUGUGGCGAAAGCGGCCUCCUAAACGAAUACUGACACUGAGGUGCGAAAGCGUGGGGAGCAAACAGGGAUUAGAUACC
rnacentral:rRNA from 1 species